UACAGAGGCCCCGAGCGUUGUCCGGAAUUAUUGGGCGUAAAGCGUCCGCAGGCGGAAUGGCAAGUCUACUGUUAAAACCGACAGCUCAACUGUCGAGAUGCAGUGGAGACUGCCAUUCUUGAGGCAGGUAGAGGUAAGCGGAACUCAUAGUGGAGCGGUGAAAUGCGUUGAUAUUAUGGGGAACACCAAUUGCGAAGGCAGCUUACUGGACCUGUCCUGACGCUCAUGGACGACAGCGUAGGGAGUGAACGGG
rnacentral:misc_RNA from 1 species